UUUCCGUAGGUGAACCUGCGGAAGGAUCAUUAUUGAAUAAACAGUGUGGGUUGUUGCUGGCCUUCUGGCAUGUGCACGCCUGCCAUAUGUUUCAUUCCCUUCUUUCCACCUGUGCACUAUGUGUAGGCGAUGUAUGCUGUAUUGUCAGGCCCUUCUUAAGGCUUGGUUUAGAGAGGAUGCUUGUCUUUAUGAGACAGGCUCAUCUUGGGCGUACAGGUCUAUGUUUUACACCAACACCAAAUGAAUGUCUUAGAAUGUAUUUUUUCAGGCUCUUGCUAGCCUUUAAACCAUAUACAACUUUCAACAACGGAUCUCUUGGCUCUC
rnacentral:misc_RNA from 1 species